AGGAUUAAAGUUUAAAAUAAUAUUUGAUUUGCAUUCAAAAGAUGUUGAAAUAAAAUCAACUUAUCUUA
rnacentral:tRNA from 1 species